AGCCCCUCGUUCUCCCUGCCGUGUUUUCUUCCUCGUCGAUACAACUUUUAUUACAUAAAUAUAAAGAAAACAAUCACGAUGUUAGGUAGUGACGCGUCGGUCAACCUAAUCAAAAAAUAAAUCAGAGGCUCCCCGCAAUGAACUUACAAACCAAAAAAAUCGUCCUGAACCUAGCAGUCGUGAUGCUAGGACUGAGCGUCACCCUCUUCAUAUACUACGGUCACAAACGGCAUGUCAACAAAGGCUUAGACACAAACACAGCCACUGGUGUGUUCAGCCUUAGUGGAGCAGGAGAGAGAGACCAGCGCCAGUCUUCUUCGGUUUUCCUCGACUAUAAGAUCACGGGUGUUCUCCCUCCGCCCGUUGACCCGACCAAGGACAAGGUCAUACUCUUCUGGGCGGAGUGGUAUAAGUCGCAGACGUGGAAGGAUAGGUUCGGCAUGUAUGACCAGCUGGAGAAGGAAGGCUGCCCGGAGUAUCGGUGCGAAUUCACUUACGACAGGAAUAGGCUCAGUGAAGCUGAUGCUAUUCUCUUCAAGUCAGAUGACAUACGGAUGGACGACAUACCAAGCCUGCGGCUGCCCCACCAGCGCUGGGUGUGGGUGGAGGUGGAGGCGCCGCUGAGCCAACGCGGCAUCAACGCCAUGAGCAUCGUGGACGAGCUCGGAAGCCACAACAUCAACUGGACCAUGUCCUACCACUCGUCCUCCGAGAUCGUCGGAAUGAACGGCUACCUCUACACUCUCAAAUUCCCGAUCCAGCCGUUGCGUGCGAACCUGAUAGCAGACCACCGGCCCACCAUGAGCAUGUACCUGCAGGCCCUAGAGUCCAACACGACCCUGGAGGCCAUCAUGGGCCCCAGCUGGAGGAGCUUCGUGACGCGGCCGAAGCUCGUGGUCUGGAUGUCCAGCCACUGCCCGACGUCGUCUCGCAGGGAGGACUAUGUGGUGGAACUCCAAAAGUACAUUCACGUGGAGGUCUUCGGGUUCUGCGGGAAAUUCCAGUGCGGCGAACACUUCGAUGCGUUCGGGUCCACUUGCUGGGAAAGGAGGCUCCGACCACAGUAUUUGUUUUAUCUCACCAUGGAAAACAGCCUUUGUGAUGAAUAUAUCACAGAGAAGCUGUAUAACCCGCUGAUACAUGGGCUUGUACCUGUCGUUUAUGGAUUGUCUGACUACCAGAAAUUCCUUCCUCCUCACUCUUAUAUAAACGCUCGCCAUUACCAUCCUCGCGAGCUGGGAGAUAUUCUGACAAUGCUGCAGCGAGAUCCCGUCGCCUAUGGCAAAUACCACGUCUGGCGCGGGUAUUGGAAAGCGAUGCUACCGGGCAGCAUGUGCGAGCUGUGCCACCGCCUCCACAACGACUUCCACACCGGCCACCACAUAGACAUCCCACGCUGGCGAGAGGAGAACGAGAAGUGCUUCGACGCGCCCGUGGAGAUGUUCAAAGACGACGGGUGGCGGCAGGUGGUCCAGCCGGAGGAGUUCAAGACCGAGGAGAGUCUUAUCCAGGAUGAUCAUGUCUUCAUCCUGGCGCUCUUCUGCCUCCUGGGCUCUGCCUUGUUGCUCAUUUUUAGGCAGUGAGGACGACUCGUUGAAGAUUUUGCAGUACGUUACAUGAUGAAAAUAUACAUUAAGGUGUAGCAUUAUGCAAAUGUGCUACAAAAUACACAAAUAAAGGCUAUUUUAAUACA
rnacentral:misc_RNA from 1 species